rnacentral:lncRNA from 1 species
CUGAGAACCGUGUGUGGGGCCAGCCUAACUGAAGGAAAUGUAAACAGAGUGUAAGCAGGACCCUUGUCUGUGGACAGAAACAUCGUUUGUGUACCCUCUAACCAUCUGAAGAACAUCCCUGAAAAACACAAUCAAGUGGCCUAGGUAUCACCAACUGUGAAUUCCACACAGGUUGAGCAGAGAAGAUUUUACCACAGCUGCUACAGUCAAAGGAAAAUUGGCAGUUCAUUGUUGCUGUGGUGAGCCCAGCCCAGGCAGGACUGCAUAGGAAUGCAUAGCUUUUCUGUUACAGAACUCAUUGGGUAUUCUCAUGAUGUCCACUAUCUUUUUUUUUAAGAUUUUAUUAUUUAUUUAUUCAUAAGAGACAGAGAGAGAGGUAGAGUCAUAGGGAGAAGCAGGCUCCAUGGGGGGAGGCCAAUGUAGGACUUAAUCCCAGGACCCUGGAAUCACACCCUGAACUGAAGGCAGAUGCUCAACCACUGAGCCACCCAGGCGUCCUGAUGUCCACCAUCUUUAGUCCAUUACUCCCAUACAAUCCUAAGGGAGCUCCCAGUGAGCUGGCUCUGAACCUACUUCUCCUCUUUUCCUAACCAAUCCUAGGUGCUAGCCAGUUGGUAGUUUCUGCUAACCCACGAUGGUUUAAUUAUAUUAAUAGCAAUGUGUUUCUUCCUUCAGACUAUCAGGUGGUUCAAGCCAUUCAAAACUGCAGGGCUAUCCGCACGCAGAUUUUUAUUUCCUGCAAGCCCCAUGGUGAAACCACAAGGAACAUCAUUGACACCCAGUCCAGUGUCUGGAAUGUGCAGGUGCUCAGAGAGGCAAUAUAGCCUACUGGCCAAGAGGACUGGCUUUGAAAUCUGUCUGACCUGGCCUUGA